AUGUAUGGACUAGUGUGUAUAUGUGUGGACUUAAUUACUAUGUACAUAUGAAGUUUAGGCUAGAUACAUGUUGGAAUUCUACUAUACAUACCCAUGUAUGCUAGCCAUUGGAGCAAGUGAAGUUAAAUAAAAAUCAUCCUUUCCCCCACCUCUCUAAUAGUGAGUUUUUUAGUAUUUCUUUGGUUGUCUUGAUCUCCCAAAAAAUUCUAACAUUUUGUAUCAGAGCCGGUGUGUUGAGAGACAACGAAACUUGGAGAAAAGAUGACAAAUACUAAUGGAACUCCAUUCCAAG
rnacentral:lncRNA from 1 species